GUACACACCGCCCGUCACACCAUGGGAGUGGAAUCUGCCAGAAGUAGGUAGCCUAACCGCAAGGAGGGCGCUUACCACGGUGGGUUUCAUGACUGGGGUGAAGUCGUAACAAGGUUUCCGUAGGUGAACCUGCAGAAGGAUCA
rnacentral:rRNA from 1 species